AUAUAAAAAGAAAAAACUUCAAAUAUCCCCCGUGGUUUAGUAUUUUCUCACUUUAGUAUCCUAUGGUUUAAAGUGUACCACUUUAUUAUCCCGCGGUUUCGUUUUUCUUUUUCCGUCAGAACUUUCGUUAACUUUCCGGUAAAACAUAUAGAAAAAUUUCAGAUAUCCUUCCUGUGGUUUAUCGCAUAUUCACUUUAGUGUCAUGUGAUUUAUCGAAUUUUUAUUUUAGUAACAUGUGGUUUUAACUUUCUCACUGAUUUGAUGAAAAAAUAACGGAGGGGGUAACGGAAAGAAAAAAACGAAACUGCAGGAUAUCAAAGUGAUACACUUUGAAUCACAAUAUAAUAAAGUGAAAAAAAUACUAAAGCACAGGGGUGGUAUAUGAAGUUUUUCUUAAAUACUAAGA
rnacentral:lncRNA from 1 species